rnacentral:tRNA from 1 species
GGAGAGGUGCCAGAGUGGACGAAUGGGGCGCCCUGCUAAGGCGUUGUGGUGCAAGCCACCGUGGGUUCGAAUCCCAUCCUCUCCGCCA